AUCGCUUCUCGGCCUUUUGGCGAAGAUCAAGUGCAGUAUCUCUUCUUAUCAGCUUAAUAUCUGUAAUACAUCCUCUAUCCAAGAACAACGUAUUAAAUGGACUUUUGAAGCCAGGAGAUGGAAUAGGAGCUUGCUCCGUCCACUCCACGCAUCGACCCAGUUCCCAGGGCUUCUGGGAACGGUGUAUUUCUC